rnacentral:rRNA from 1 species
UCUUAGAUAUAAAACUGAUUAAACCAUUUUACCAGAGUACUACGAACAUCCAGUUUAAAACUCAAAGAGCUUGGCGGUGCUUUAGACUUCUCAGGGGAACUUGUCUCGUAAUCGACAGCCCACGAACCAACCUCACCUCUUCUUGAAACCAGUAUGUAUACCGUCGUCGUCAGGUAACUUUUAAAAAUAAAGAAGUUAGCAAACAAAUCAUCCUAAAUUUCUACGUCAGAUCAAGGUGCAGCCCAUGAAAAGGAGUAGAUGAGUUACAAUUAAAAUUUAUAAUUACAGACAUUGCUUUUAACAAAGCUUUUAAAGGAGGACUUGAAAGUAAGGCUCAGCAGCCAAACAGUUUGAAUUAAGCUCUGAAGCG